AACGCGAAGAACCUUACCUACCCUUGACAUACAGUGAUUGCAGAGAUGCAGUGCCCGGGAACACUGAUACAGGUGCUGCAUGCUGUCGUCAGCUCGUGUCGUGAGAUGUUGGGUUAAGUCCCGUAACGAGCGCAACCCUUAUCCUUAGUUGCCAGCACGUAAUGGUGGGAACUCUAAGGAGACUGCCGGUGACAAACCGGAGGAAGGCGGGGAUGACGUCAAGUCAUCAUGGCCCUUACGUCCGGGGCUACACACGUGCUACAAUGGCCGGUACAAAGGGAAGCGAAGGGGCGACCUGGAGCAAUUCUUUUAAAGUCGGUCGUAGUUUGGAUCGGAGUCUGCAACUCGACUCCAUGAAGUCGGAUUCGCUAGUAAUCGCGAAUCAGCCAUGUCGCGGUGAAUACGUUCCCGGGCCUUGUACACACCG
rnacentral:rRNA from 1 species